rnacentral:rRNA from 1 species
AUUGAACGCUGGCGGAAUGCUUUACACAUGCAAGUCGAGCGGCAGCGCGGGGGCAACCCUGGCGGCGAGCGGCGAACGGGUGAGUAACACAUCGGAACGUACCCAGUGGUGGGGGAUAGCCCGGCGAAAGCCGGAUUAAUACCGCAUACGACCUGAGGGGGAAAGUGGGGGACCGCAAGGCCUCACGCCGCUGGAGCGGCCGAUGUUCGAUUAGCUAGUUGGUGAGGUAAAGGCUUACCAAGGCGACGAUCCGUAGCUGGUCUGAGAGGAUGAUCAGCCACACUGGGACUGAGACACGGCCCAGACUCCUACGGGAGGCAGCAGUGGGGAAUUUUGGACAAUGGGGGGCAACCCUGAUCCAGCCAUGCCGCGUGAGUGAAGAAGG